CCGAUCUUAGCUCAGUUGGUAGAGCGGAGGACUGUAGAUCCUUAGGUCGCUGGUUCGAAUCCGGCAGGUCGGA